AUUGAACGCUGGCGGCAUGCCUAACACAUGCAAGUCGAACGGUAACAGGGGCUUCGGCCCGCUGACGAGUGGCGGACGGGUGAGUAAUACGUAGGAAUCUACCUUUUAGUGGGGGAUAACUUAGGGAAACUUAAGCUAAUACCGCAUAAUCACUACGGUGGAAAGCAGGGGCUCGCAAGACCUUGCGCUGAUAGAUGAGCCUACGUCGGAUUAGCUUGUUGGUAGGGUAAAGGCCUACCAAGGCGACGAUCCGUAGCUGGUCUGAGAGGACGACCAGCCACACUGGGACUGAGACACGGCCCAGGCUCCUACGGGAGGCAGCAGUGGGGAAUAUUGGACAAUGGGGGCAACCCUGAUCCAGCGAUGCCGCGUGUGUGAAGAAGGCCU
rnacentral:rRNA from 1 species